GGCGAAAUGCGACCUGCUACACAUGCAGUCGAACGAUGAACCACUUCGGUGGGGAUUAGUGGCGAACGGGUGAGUAACACGUGGGCAAUCUGCCCUUCACUCUGGGACAAGCCCUGGAAACGGGGUCUAAUACCGGAUACUGACCCUCGCAGGCAUCUGCGAGGUUCGAAAGCUCCGGCGGUGAAGGAUGAGCCCGCGGCCUAUCAGCUUGUUGGUGAGGUAAUGGCUCACCAAGGCGACGACGGGUAGCCGGCCUGAGAGGGCGACCGGCCACACUGGGACUGAGACACGGCCCAGACUCCUACGGGAGGCAGCAGUGGGGAAUAUUGCACAAUGGGCGAAAGCCUGAUGCAGCGACGCCGCGUGAGGGAUGACGGCCUUCGGGUUGUAAACCUCUUUCAGCAGGGAAGAAGCGAAAGUGACGGUACCUGCAGAAGAAGCGCCGGCUAACUACGUGCCAGCAGCCGCGGUAAUACGUAGGGCGCAAGCGUUGUCCGGAAUUAUUGGGCGUAAAGAGCUCGUAGGCGGCUUGUCACGUCGGUUGUGAAAGCCCGGGGCUUAACCCCGGGUCUGCAGUCGAUACGGGCAGGCUAAACUUCGGUAGGGGAGAUCCGAAUUCCUGGUGUAACGGUGAAAUGCGCAGAUAUCAAGAGGAACAACGGUUGGCCAAAGCUGAUCUCUGGGCGCUAUACUGCAUGCUAC
rnacentral:rRNA from 1 species